rnacentral:rRNA from 1 species
AGCAGUCGCCGCGGUAAUACGGAGGGAGCUAGCGUUAUUCGGAAUUACUGGGCGUAAAGCGCACGUAGGCGGCUUUGUAAGUUAGAGGUGAAAGCCUGGAGCUCAACUCCAGAAUUGCCUUUAAGACUGCAUCGCUUGAAUCCAGGAGAGGUGAGUGGAAUUCCGAGUGUAGAGGUGAAAUUCGUAGAUAUUCGGAAGAACACCAGUGGCGAAGGCGGCUCACUGGACUGGUAUUGACGCUGAGGUGCGAAAGCGUGGGGAGCAAACAGGAUUAGAUACCCCCGUAGUCCCUGUCUCUUAUAC